rnacentral:rRNA from 1 species
GCUUAUACUUGAGGCGUCGGCGGCGGCAGGAGCGACUGAGGGCGCGGGCGCGUUCGCCCCGUCCGUCACCAGGCCCCGACGAGUAGGAGGGUCACGACGGUGACCGCAGAAGAGCUGGCCGCGAGGCCAUCUGGAGAACUGACGUGGAGAAGGGUUUCGUGUGAACAGCCGCUGCACACAAGUCAGUCGAUCCUAAACCCUGUGCGAAAGCCGAUGUCGAUGUGGUGUAGAUUGAUAUAAUUCGAUGAUGAUGAUAAUUCAUGUACAGUAAUUUAAUCGAUCGGCGCGCAGCACACACCCGUCGGGCGAAAGGGAAUCCGGUUCCUAUUCCGGAACCUGGCAGCGGAACCGUCAAUAAGUCGGGC